rnacentral:snRNA from 1 species
CGUUGCCGAAUCGUUGACAAUUCGCGAAUCUUCCCUACGCCUUUUACUUAGAGAAGCCGUGUCCCCGAUUCAAAGAAGCAACUCAUUCAAUCUUUAGCCCGCAUCAAACAUGUGCCAG